rnacentral:misc_RNA from 1 species
GGGGACUUGUAGUAAUACGGAGGAGAUGGAGACUUCUUUGGAGGAGGGGGUGAUGGGUUGUGGUACGGGGGUGGCGGCGAGGGAGAUGGUGGAGGUGGGGACUUGUAGUAAUACGGAGGAGAUGGUGACUUAUUUGGAGGAGGGGGUGAUGGGUAGUGUUAUGGGGUGACUUCUUUGGAGGAGGGGGUGAUGGGUAGUGGUAUGGAGUUGGUGGUGAGGGAGAUGGUGGAGGUGGAGACUUAUAAUAAUAAGAAGGUGAUGGUGGAGGUGGG